UACGUAGGGUGCAAGCGUUGUCCGGAAUUAUUGGGCGUAAAAGAGCUCGUAGGCGGUUCGUCGCGUCGGCUGUGAAAAACCUGAGGCUCAACCUCAGGCCUGCAGUCGAUACGGGCGGACUUGAGUACUGCAGGGGGAGACUGGAAUUCCUGGUGUAGCGGUGAAAUGCGCAGAUAUCAGGAGGAACACCGGUGGCGAAGGCGGCCUUCUGGACAGUGACUGACGCUGAGAUGCGAAAGCGUGGGGAGCAAACAGG
rnacentral:rRNA from 1 species